rnacentral:rRNA from 1 species
UACGUAGGGGGCUAGCGUUGUCCGGAUUUAUUGGGCGUAAAGAGCGUGUAGGCGGCCAGGUAGGUCUGCUGUGAAAACUCGAGGCUCAACCUCGAGACGUCGGCGGAAACCAUCUGGCUAGAGUCCGGAAGAGGAGAGUGGAAGUCCUGGUGUAGCGGUGAAAUGCGCAGAUAUCAGGAAGAACACCCGUGGCGAAGGCGGCUCUCUGGGACGGUACUGACGCUGAGACGCGAAAGCGUGGGGAGCGAACAGG